GUAGAGGUGAAAUUCGUAGAUAUUAGGAAGAACACCAGUGGCGAAGGCGACUCACUGGACAGGUAUUGACGCUGAGGUGCGAAAGCGUGGGGAGCGAACAGGAUUAGAUACCCUGGUAGUCCACGCCGUAAACGAUGGUCACUAGCUGUUUGGACUUUUGUCUGAGUGGCUAAGCGAAAGUGAUAAGUGACCCACCUGGGGAGUACGAUCGCAAGAUUGAAACUCAAAGGAAUUGACGGGGGCCCGCACAAGCGGUGGAGCAUGUGGUUUAAUUCGAUGAUACGCGAGGAACCUUACCAGGGCUUAAAUGUAGAGUGACAGGGGUAGAGAUACCUUUUUCUUCGGACACUUUACAAGGUGCUGCAUGGUUGUCGUCAGCUCGUGCCGUGAGGUGUCAGGUUAAGUCCUAUAACGAGCGCAACCCCUGUUGUUAGUUACCAGCACGUAGUGGUGGGGACUCUAACAAGACUGCCGGUGCAAACCGUGAGGAAGGUGGGGAUGACGUCAAAUCAUCACGGCCCUUACGUCCUGGGCUACACACGUGCUACAAUG
rnacentral:rRNA from 1 species